GCCGAAAUAGCUCAGUUGGAUGAGCGUUAGACUGAAGAUCUAAAUGUCCCUGGUUCGAUACCUGGUUUCGGCA